rnacentral:rRNA from 1 species
CAGUCGCCACGGUAAUACGUAGGGUGCGAGCGUUGUCCGGAAUUAUUGGGCGUAAAGAGCUUGUAGGCGGUCUGUCGCGUCUGCUGUGAAAACCCGAGGCUCAACCUCGGGCCUGCAAUGGAUACUGGCGAGCUAGAGUGUGUCAGAGGAUGGUGGAAUUCCCGGUGUAGCGGUGAAAUGCGUAGAGAUCGGGAGGAACAUCAGUGGCGAAGGCGGCCAUCUGGGACAACACUGACGCUGAGGCACGAAAGCGUGUGGAGCAAACAGGAUUAGAUACCCGUGUAGUCCCUGUCUCUUAUAC